rnacentral:rRNA from 1 species
UACGUAGGUGGCAAGCGUUGUUCGGAAUUACUGGGCGUAAAGGGCGCGUAGGCGGCCGCCUAAGUCAGACGUGAAAUCCCUCGGCUCAACCGGGGAACUGCGUCUGAUACUGGGUGGCUUGAAUUCGGGAGAGGGAUGCGGAAUUCCAGGUGUAGCGGUGAAAUGCGUAGAUAUCUGGAGGAACACCGGUGGCGAAGGCGGCAUCCUGGACCGAGAUUGACGCUGAGGCGCGAAAGCCAGGGGAGCAAACGGG